CAACCCUGACAAUAGGCAAAGUGACACCUCAUUGGUGGUGUUACUGUUCUGUCAGUCAGGGACAAAGCAGAUGGUCCUUUGUUCAUCCAAGCUGGAUGCCUGGAUUGGUGGCCAGAGCUCUUUUAUGCUUGGGACAAAACA